CAUGUUUCCAUUGCUGGUAAUUGCUAACUCGCUUCGUCUCUAGUCUACUUGACUUGUGUCUCUGUGCGUCCGUUUUCCGUUGCGAGGUGAGCCGCGGCUGGUCAUCAUUUUGCCACAGCCAGUAGGAAAAUAACUUUCUAAAUGAACCUGGAGGCAGCAAAAAAAAAAAAGCUGGAUAAACUCGUUACCGGUAAACACAGCAGGUUUGUUAAGGACACCCCCAGCUCGACUGAGUUCGUAAGAAAAGAAUCUUGGCAGGAGGUUGUGAAUGAAGCACCACCAGUCACUAACCGAAAAGAUUGAUGGCCUGCUCUGUUUGAUGCAGCUCAGGAUGAGUCUGUGGAAAAAAGGAGAGGUGGCUUAAUGGUGUACCUAACAGAAAAGGAUGAGGAUCUCUUCAAAAAGUUGGAUGGUGGAGAUAUUGUCAAUGAAGUGAUGAAGAUUGUCAUAUCCAGAGGUGCCACCAUGUCUGAUUCAACCAGCGCGAGGAUCUUCAUUGAGGGAACAGAAGUCCUGCAAGACCUGGACGUACCCAGAGCAUGUGCCUUGCUAAUGGGGGUGAUAUACGGACUCAACCUCAGCUACCCAAAAGAAGGGAAAAAUACUUUUGAGGUAUUACUAAAGAUAUUCCUUGAGCUGGAUGGGCUGAAAGCCAGUCUGAAGGUUAUGUCUUUAAAAAGUAAACUGCUAUGCUAAAAAUGUGCAGAAUUAGAAUGUGCUCCAAUUUAACAACAUGGUGUAUGGUGUUUUUUAUUGUAUUCUUUAACAUACACAGUGAAUGAAGCACUGGAUUCAGGGGAUUGGGCCUCCAAAAUUUACAUUAAUAAUUUUAAUAUGUUCUUUUUAAGGGCAACUUAGAAGCUCCCAAAUACACUUUUAAUUUUCAUUAAAGGGAAGCUUCCUUAUUUUUUAACCUGUCUCUUUGUCUGUCUGUCUGUCUGUCUGUCUGACUGACUGAAUGAGGGAAGAAUAUCUUUAAUUGGCCCAGUAUUGACAGAGAGCGCAUCAGCUGGAAGCUGCAAAAUGAGCUAAAACAUAUUUUUUAGGAGAAUUGGUUUUACACAGCCAAAACAAGUAAAGGGAAAGGCUUUCCAUACUGUUGUCAGGACUUACAGUGACCACAUGAGCCUUUUAGAGGGGGAAAAAGAGCACUAUUUGUGAACACAAUUUGACGUAGCACAUUUGCCUCUUAAAACUACAUUUCAUCUCUUUUUGUAGCCACCAGAAAGAUGCGCUCUCCAUUAAUACUGGACUAAUUAAAGAUAUUCUUCUCCCCAUCAGUCUGAUAGACACACGCAUGGGGAAAUGGGCCUAGGUUGAAAAAAUACUGACGCUCUCAGUUAAAAGUGAUUUGGGUAUGAAUUUAUGUAUUUAUUUUUUGUCAAAGUAGGCAUGUUUAUUUUGUUUAUGUUAUAAAAUAUUACUAUAAUAUAGUUUAUAUGUUU